rnacentral:rRNA from 1 species
AGAGUUUGAUCAUGGCUCAGGAUGAACGCUGGCGGCGUGCCUAACACAUGCAAGUCGAGCGAUCUUCUUCGGAAGAGAGCGGCGGACGGGUGAGUAACGCGUGGGUAACCUGCCUCAUACACAUGGAUAACAUACCGAAAGGUAUGCUAAUACAAGAUGACAUAAGGGAUUCGCAUGGAUUUCUUAUCAAAGCUCCGGCGGUAUGAGAUGGACCCGCGUCUGAUUAGCUAGUUGGUAAGGUAACGGCUUACCAAGGCGACGAUCAGUAGCCGACCUGAGAGGGUGAUCGGCCACAUUGGAACUGAGACACGGUCCAAACUCCUACGGGAGGCAGCAGUGGGGAAUAUUGCACAAUGGGCGAAAGCCUGAUGCAGCAACGCCGCGUGAGCGAUGAAGGCCUUCGGGUCGUAAAGCUCUGUCCUCAAGGAAGAUAAUGACGGUACUUGAGGAGGAAGCCCCGGCUAACUACGUG